UCUGUUCUCCAAGAGCUUCUAUCUUCUAGUCACCCUGACCAAAUGAUUCACCAAAGGAGAGCUUCCUAAGUAUGAAGUGAGGGAUCAAAGAAUCAGAAAGAAAAAAACAUAUAAAACUCUGCAGCAACAAUCUACUGCAGUAAUCUUGUUAUUCACUUUAAAGUUAAGACUUCCGGCAACAACACCUCUGGCACUCUACAGAUUCCCUAGAUGUGACAAGCGAAGUAGAAAAGGAUACUUAAG